rnacentral:ncRNA from 1 species
UAUCAACUGACCUAGCAGACAAGCCAAGAUGAUAGGACUUAUUCUCUCGGAGGGAAUUAUG